rnacentral:rRNA from 1 species
GUGGCGACACCGCGCGGACCAAAGCCGUUCUCAGUUCGGAUCGGAGUCUGCAACCCGACUCCGUGAAGCUGGAUUCGCUAGUAAUCGCGCAUCAGCCAUGGCGCGGUGAAUACGUUCCCGGGCCUCGUACACACCGCCCGUCAAGCCAUGGGAGCCGGGGGUGCUUGAAGUGCGUCGCCGCAAGGCGCGCCCUAGAGCAAAACCGGUGACUGGGGCUAAGUCGUAACAAGGUAAC